rnacentral:pre_miRNA from 1 species
CAGCCCCGGCCAGCUUCAAUUCCGUAGUGCAUUGCAGUGUAGCGUGUACAUGACUGCAAGCAUUGUGGGAGUGAAGCCGUCCGGCUGGCACCAACUG